GGAGGUGGUGCCCUGUACCCGGGAGGAGGUGGUGAAUCCUUCUUCAGAGGAGGUGGUGCCCUGUACCCGGGAGGAGGUGGUGAAUCCCUCUUCAGAGGAGGUGGUGCCCUGUACCCGGGAGGAGGUGGUGAAUCCCUCUUCAGAGGAGGUGGUGAAUCCCUCUUCAGAGGAGGUGGUGAAUCCCUCUUCAGAGGAGGUGGUGCCCUGUACCCGGGAGGAGGUGGUGAAUCCCUCUUCAGAGGAGGGGCAGCAGAGGUCUACACAGGCGCUGAGCUGUCCUACAGAGAAGGAGGUGCAGCUGCCUCUUACAGACGCGGUGCUGAUGCCCUCGACCAAGGAGGAGGUGCAGGUCACUCCAUUAGCAGAGGAGGUGCCUUUGCCCUCUUCAGAUGGCGAGGAGGAGCUCCUUCCCUCCAGACUGGAGGGGCCUCCCCUAGCGGAGGAGGUGGUGGUGUCUCCGGAUGAGACGGUGAUGGAACAGGGACCUUUUCCGCGUGUGGGAGAACCUCGAGCAACAGCGGUGGCAGCCAGCAGGGAGCUGGCAGGAGACGAACGUCCAACAGAAGGACGUCCUCUGCAGGGGGCGGGAGCUAGAGGACUCUCCUCUGGACCGGGAACUGAGGACGAAGAGCAGGGAACCCCUGAGAUUCAACCAAUCGCAGCCCCACGGCGGGACGCGAAGCUCAGUUGUCAUCGGUGACCCACCUGUCGCUGGUGAUCCACGACAGCUCGGAGAACCUCACCAACGAGGAGUGACCAAGAGAGGGCGGGGCCAAGGAGCCAUGUGACCCAGGACCACUGAGGAGUGACCAAGAGAGGGCGGGGCCAAGGAGCCAUGUGACCCAGGACCACUGGGGGCCUUUUACUACCGUGUGUGUGUGUGCAUUUUUUCUGACGUUUGUUUUGAAGUUCCAAAAUGUGCCGUUGGGCCAGUGUUUACUUUAUAAUAUACUUUUGUUAAAGCUUUAUUUAACAGGUUGUCUUUGCAUGCAUUGUGGUCAGUCGCCCACCGUUCUGAAUACUGU
ensembl:lncRNA